ensembl:lncRNA
AAGUCAAUUGCAACUAAACCAGAAGGUUGUUGAAAGUAUUAAAGAAAAUUACAUGUGAAACCCUUAACAGAGAGCCUGAGACAAAGUGAGGACUCAAAAGAAAAAAAAAAGUUAUUUCAUUUUCCUUUGGGAGAAAAUGUGCACAGAUGAAGCAAUUAGAGAACAAGACAAUAGCUCAAUGUGCUCGCUUUAGAAACAGGGCUGCCUCUCAAAGCGAUCGCUGGGUGACCGGCGCCCUCUAGUGGUGACUUCGGCAAGGACGCUGGAAGGGAGUUAGAGGUUCAAAGCUGACCACCCAAACCCACAGGAGCCUUAUAGCCCUUUCCUGGUUUUGGAGACAGCGGGACAUAAAGGCCACAGGCAGUGGCUCCAGGGAAUUGUUUAUCAUCGGUGGACUCUCCAAGGUGUUAGUAGAGGACUUGGGAGGGAAAGAGCAUAGCAGCAUGAGCCCCUCCGCCAGCGAGGCAGGUGGAGAAGUUAACUGCAUGAUGACCAGACUGUAGCCACCAGAAUUCUGAAAAUUGGCCUCAAGAAAUGGAAACAAGCCGAUGCUGAAACUACAGAUUAACUGUACUUAAAACAAUCAAGAUGAUGCUGGUCAGACCACCUAUGACCAAUUUCAAGAUGACUGUCAGCACUGACUGUGCUGUUUCUGCAUGUAUCCCCCUCCCUCAGCCUAUAAGAGCUCUUGCCCACUGGCUGUGGGGUGGUGGGGGAGUUGGCCUUUGGACAGAUGUCUGCCC